UGAGUAACACGAUUCCAACCUGCCGUCUACUCUUGGACAGCCUUCUGAAAGGAAGAUUAAUACAAGAUGGCAUCAUGAGUCCGCAUGUUCACAUGAUUAAAGGUAUUCCGGUAGACGAUGGGGAUGCGUUCCAUUAGAUAGUAGGCGGGGUAACGGCCCACCUAGUCUUCGAUGGAUAGGGGUUCUGAGAGGAAGGUCCCCCACAUUGGAACUGAGACACGGUCCAA
rnacentral:rRNA from 1 species